GGGGGGCUGUAAAAUACUGCUUUCCUGUGAUGCAUCAGCUUGUUAAGUUUGGUGAACUUAUGGUCUAGUUUGUUAGGACAACAGUUGUGCGCUCGAAAAAAAAAAUGCAGUUGCUAUUUUCAUCAACUAAGAUAAAUAUUGGGAUGCCCCUGACCACUAUUACAAUUUUUCAGUAAAAAAAGAAUGUUGACACACAUCAUAUGCUAUGAGAAUUCAAAGACGAUUCAAGUAGAUCAAAUAAAAAUUAACCGAG
rnacentral:lncRNA from 1 species